rnacentral:rRNA from 1 species
UACGAAGGGGGCUAGCGUUGUUCGGAAUUACUGGGCGUAAAGCGUAUGCAGGCGGAUCGUUAAGUCGGGGGUGAAAUCCCGAGGCUCAACCUCGGAACUGCCUUCGAUACUGGCGACCUUCGAGUCCGGGAGAGGUAAGUGGAACUGCGAGUGUAGAGGUGAAAUUCGUAGAUAUUCGCAAGAACACCAGUGGCGAAGGCGGCUUACUGGUCCGGUUCUGACGCUGAGGCGCGAAAGCGUGGGGAGCAAACAGG